AAACCAACUGGGAUUACCUUAGUAACGGCGAGUGAAGGCGGUAAAAGCUCAAAUUUGAAAUCUGGUACUUUCAGUGCCCGAGUUGUAAUUUGUAGAAUUUGUCUUUGAUUAGGUCCUUGUCUAUGUUCCUUGGAACAGGACGUCAUAGAGGGUGAGAAUCCCGUUUGGCGAGGAUACCUUUUCUCUGUAAGUACUUUUUCGAAGAGUCGAGUUGUUUGGGAAUGCAGCUCAAAGUGGGUGGUAAAUUCCAUCUAAAGCUAAAUAUUGGCGAGAGACCGAUAGCGAACAAGUACAGUGAUGGAAAGAUGAAAAGAACUUUGAAAAGAGAGUGAAAAAGUACGUGAAAUUGUUGAAAGGGAAGGGCAUUUGAUCAGACAUGGUGUUUUUGCAUGCACUCGCCUCUCGUGGGCUUGGGCCUCUCAAAAAUUUCACUGGGCCAACAUCAAUUCUGGCAGUCGAGUAAUAACUCUAAGUAAGUAAUGUACGUCCUACGUUACGGUAGUUAGUUAGUACGUACUUUUUGGAAAUUACCUGUUACGCGGUUACG
rnacentral:rRNA from 1 species